rnacentral:rRNA from 1 species
UGGGGAGCAAACAGGAUUAGAUACCCUGGUAGUCCACGCCGUAAACGAUGAGUGCUAGGUGUUAGACCCUNUCCGGGGUUUAGUGCCGCAGCUAACGCAUUAAGCACUCCGCCUGGGGAGUACGACCGCAAGGUUGAAACUCAAAGGAAUUGACGGGGGCCCGCACAAGCGGUGGAGCAUGUGGUUUAAUUCGAAGCAACGCGAAGAACCUUACCAGGUCUUGACAUCCCUCUGACCGCUCUAGAGAUAGAGUUUUCCUUCGGGACAGAGGUGACAGGUGGUGCAUGGUUGUCGUCAGCUCGUGUCGUGAGAUGUUGNNNNAANNNNNNCAACGAGCGCAACCCCUAUUGUUAGUUGCCAUCAUUUAGUUGGGCACUCUAGCGAGACUGCCGGUAAUAAACCGGAGGAAGGUGGGGAUGACGUCAAAUCAUCAUGCCCCUUAUGACCUGGGCUACACACGUGCUACAAUGGCUGGUACAACGAGUCGCAAGCCGGUGACGGCAAGCUAAUCUCUUAAAGCCAGUCUCAGUUCGGAUUGUAGGCUGCAACUNGC